rnacentral:lncRNA from 1 species
CACAGGGGAGGGAUCAGGAUGAAUGCCACACUCUAGUGAUCAAGUUACCAUGAGGACCAAGAUUUAGACAAGGAUGUCAAGGAUAAACGAUUUAGGUAAUUUGGACACGUUUUGAGAAUUUUACUAGUAUGAAAUAAUGAUAAAAUUGUAACAUUUUCUGCUUGUCUAUAUUUGGUAAAUCUGUCUGCAAUUUUAUGCUGUCUGUGUUAAUGUUCAUCUUAUAAUUUGACAGGACUAAAGUUAAAAUAUUUUGGUGUCCCUGGUAGUUUAAGCUUGGUCUGUGUGAUGAGUCGAAGCUUGUCAGGCCUUUUGUUAGGCUGUGUGUACAUAUAUAUCUCGGAGACAAAUAUUGUUGAUUUGUAUGCAUACUGUUGUUGGCUUACAAAUGUAGGUGUGUUGAAUAUCUCAUGUCAUUUUUGUACACGUAAAUAAUUAUAUUUUUCCACUUUUAAUAACUUUGUACAAUUAAAGUUGCCAAUGGUAACGUUAGAAUGUAUGCCAAGUGGUUGAUUGUAUAUAGAAUUCCUCGUGACAAAUUUUGCAUAUGAAAAUGCAAUGAAGUUUUUCAUCCACUCCAAGUGGUCUGGGUUCCAAAGACAUGUUUGUGUUGAAAGCAAAUUGAGAAAUGGUAAGCAUUUUAACACAGAAAUAACUUUGACAGAAAUAUUCAUUUAAAUUUAAAUUAAAAAUUACCCAAAGAAAAGUCGGAAGAUGUACUCAUUCACAAUAAGAAGUUGUUCAUAAAACACCCUGUUUUGUAAAAAGAGAGUGCCAAAUCAAUUUGAAAAAGGGAAUUAAAAAUAUUCCUACAAAUAUUAUUUACAGUGGUAAGUUCCAGGAAGAAUAUUUGGAGUUUUCAAAGUCCAAGAAGGAAAAUUUGAUUUGAAGAAAGAAAUUAUUUUGAUUCUGAACAAUUGGAAGACUAAAAUUGUACAUAUUCAUGUGAAAACUAUAUGAAAUUUUAAAUCUUUAAAAGACAAAUUUAAGGAGAGUGCAGAAACUUGAUGGAAUCUGGACCAUCUUGGUUGUCAUUGGUUACCGUCUCACAGAUACCUAGAAUCAUGAUAAUCUUCCCAGAGAUCUCGUCUCAUCCAUACAUGCCUCAUCCAGUCAAGUUGAUGCAGUUAGAUCUUGUUGUCUCUGUUCACUGUGCCAUUAUCAUCCAAAGAUAGGAAUCUAGCUUUGUUACACUGUCACAAUACAAGGAGAACAGUGGCUUAAUCAUCAGCAAGAAGUUACUGUUUUUGUGGAGAGUCGCCAGGUGUGUCGGUCAUCCACUUGUGAUGCCUCCUGUUAUAUUGGACAAUAGGACUUUCUGCAGGGAUUUACCUAGGUACCCAAGGGCAGAUAUUCAACCCCUAUCAAACAAAAUGUUACAUUUCCAACUAAUGGUAUAAUUUAAAAAAAAUAUUGUUUUAGUUUGCAAAGGCUGCUUGUUUUUGACAGACCCAGAAACCCAUGCUUGUCAUACGAGGUAACUUGAUGAAUCGAGUGGUCAGGCUCGCUCCCAGUUGCAUGGAUCGAUGCUCAUGAUGUCAAUCACUGGAUUGUCUGGUCCAGACUCGAUUAUUUCCAGACCUCAGUCUUACAGCUGGAAUAUUGCUGAGUGAGCUUUAAACAACAGUCAAUCAAUAAAUCAAUCAAUCAAUCAAUGUUUUUCACUGAUGAAAGUAUCAAGAGAGAGAAAUGGCUUUAAUACUUAGUUUUACAUUUCUGUAUUGCAGUGUUAAAAUACCUCCGAAUUUAGAUAGAUAGAAAUCCAAUAGUUUUAGACAGUUUCGCUGCCACAGGAACAUAAAUUGAAAAUUCUAGGUAAAUCCCUGUUCAGAAAUCAUGAGAUCACAGGCAAUUGAAUCAAUAAUUGUGAAUAUUGUGAAUCAAUAAAUUCAAAUUAAUCAUUACCGUAUUCAACCCAAUAAGCACUUGGGUGAUUGAAAAAGUUAGCAACUAGUAGGGUGUUAUAACACUACCAACAAUAACAAGAUAUGCUUGAUAACUGCCAUCUCAAGUGUUUUUUUAAUCAUUUAUUCAUUGUAUUACAAGUACUCAUUUGUGGGAGUUUUUGGCACCUUGGCUGAAGCAACUGGCAACUGCUACUUUGUCCAUGUGGACUGUCUUCAAUGGGAAAGGGGUCUCGAAUGUCACUUCAUGUAAGGGGGGGAGGGGGGGGGGGAUUCCUACCAUUUACAAGAUGCUUAUUGCAUUGAAUACGGUAUUCCAUCGUCAUGUUAUCAACAAUAAUACGUACAGUACUGUUAUGUUGUUUCAGGUAUGAUUAAUCACGAAAGAAGUCUCAACACUUUUAAAGAUAUGCUUGUAUAUUCAUGAACUUUUUAAGAAGUUGAAUGAUUUUGUUGUUGAAAUAUUUCCAAAUUGUUAUUACUAUUUGUCUCAGCAGAGGGAUGUCAUUCAGUAGCUGCAAAAAUUGAUGGUGAAAUUAUUGUCAAGUAAUAGCUGUGAGUUGGAACGUGUGUUUCCUGAACCUGGUGAUGGUGCAGGUCUUGUUGCUGACUUGCAGCAAUGUAAAAGGAAUGAAAUUAUUGCCAUGUCAUGAAAGUGCUGUUACCACUGGCAAUUGAGAUUUCAUGUAUUAAAUUGUUUUUUUGAGUUCAAAUGAGUACAAAUCUUUUAAAAAACAUCACCAAAGUGCUAUCCACAUUUUAAUGUCAAUUUUCAUGACAUGAAUGACAGAAAAUAUUAUUUUCUAAAAUUAUACUGUUUACUUGACGAAUAAAUUUCACCUGUGUCCAUUGGAAGAAAUCAUGAGAAGAAAGCUUAAAAUAUGCUGUCAGUUUUACUUGUAAUAUUUAUAAUGUUCUGUAACCAACCACAUUGUAGUAUAUAGUGUUUCUCGUUUUAAUACAUUUCAAAAACGGAAUGUCGGAGCAGUUUUAUGUAGAGUUUUGAUACCAUUUUUUUUAGAUGACAACGACAUGUAUGAUCUCAAUUGUGAUAUCAGAAUCAUAUUCUUAACUUCAUCCAGUUCUUGAGGAAACUGCAGGACAGUUUGUAGGCACAGUCAUGUUUGUUCAUGUUUAAAGCAUCAUUCCUAGGGAUGUUCACCAUAAAUAUUCUAUGUAGUUUCAUGUUAAUCCAUUUGCAAAGUGCUCCUGAAUUUCACCACAGAUUUCACACAAAUUCAUGCCUGAAUCAGGUUUACCUAUUUGAAAGAUGUUAUUUUUCAUAUUCAACAGAUGUGAGAUAUGCAAUGUUAUUGCCUGCCUUGUUCUUGAGAAAACCCAUCAGGAGAAAUAUUGACAAAAAUCUUAUACAUUCUUAGUGCUUCUGUUUUGUUAGACUAAAGAUUUUUUUAUGAACAAAUAAACUUGCAAACAAAACGGGCAGUGCCAUCUUGGGAUGAGAGAAUUGAUGUUGUAAAAGAAAUAUUGUGUGUAUGAUGGGUUUUCAAUGUGAAACUUACUUCAGCUGUCAAAACUUGUAUUCUGACAAUGCUCUUCCAAGAGCAGCCACAAGAGCACCUGUCUCUGGUUCAGUCCCGGUGUAUGCUGACAAAUUGUCAGGAGAUUGAGGUAUUGCGAUUGUAGUUUCAAUACUUAACAACUUACUAAGAUGUAGUGUUGAGAAGUUAUAUAUUUUGUAAGGUGGUGCCAUUUACUGAAAUAUUCAGCUAUUAAACUCUCAGAUGCCAUAUUGUACGAUAUUUGUUAUGAACAGGUUAAGACAAUUUGAAAUCUUUGUAAAUAUAUGCAUUAUUUUAUAUCAUAUUGCCACAAAAAAUGAAAACUAAACCAUUUCCCCCUGGUAUUUAAAUAAUAGAGACUGAUAACAUGGAGUAUCAAAGAGUAACCUCUCAUACAUAGAAGUAACCAGGGAUGUUGCUGGAAUUGUUCCAAAUCUGCAGCAAAUGUGAGUAGAUAUUCCCAAUUCGGAAUCAAUAUGUCCCAGUUCAUGUUGUUAUAUUUUUGACUGAUUCUAUGGCUUUGAUAACAGUGCCAAUGAAGCGGAAGAGGAUUUGUUGCUUAAUUUCCCAUUAAAGUAUUGAACGCAAUGUUACAGUAACUUUGAAAAUUACCAAUUUUGAACAAAACAACAUUUUUAAAUUGGCCAACAAAGGGCAGUUAGUUUGGAAUAGUGUUAAAUUCCUGGUCAAAUCUAAAGUGGCUGAUAGUUCUUUUUGUGUUAUGAAUAUAUGUAGUUUGGACUGUUUAUCCCAAAUAAAUGGUAUUGUGAGUUUUAAGGACACAUGAGAUAAAACGUCAGGAAUUAACCUUGAAACUUUAAGACUAAAGCACUUGGUAUGCAUGGUUUCAAACACACUGUUUGUAGAUUAGGAGGAUUGGGCAUAUCAAGUUAGUAAUAGUGCUAUUUUUCUAUUUUUUGCUAAGUGUGUAGAAGCUUUUAACUCAAACGGGUUUAAAUGAUAUCUGGCUAACCUAGCUGUUGCUGGUGAAGAAGUUUGGGCACUGAACUGCAGAUUUCUGUAUCCAUAUUGUCUUGUCUGUGGGAACUAAAAGGUCAACCUGGUUUUUGCUUCCUUAAACUUUUUUAAUCAAUCCGGUGAAAGUGUAAAUAGAUAUACAGCACUGAUAUAAUUUGUGAUCCUUUUUUAAAAAGUGACACUUAAAAAGCUAGAAAUAGUUUUAUAAUUCAAUUAUUUUCAGCUGUUGUUUUGAGAUUACUGUUAUUUUGCUGUGGAGAACAGUUGUUCUGAUGACGAUGGCUUAAUGGGAGAUUUUACAAGUAGUUUCCGCAAAAUGUUUGAUUGAUUAGAAAAAGUGCCUUUAGAAAUGUAUGUACGACAUUAUGCAGGACUUUACAGCCUGUCACAAAUCACAGUAUUUUACAUGCAUUAUUUUCUUCUAACUCUUUCUCACAACUUUGAUAUAUUCAUGAUAGAAACGUUUUAAGAGUAGUUUCAUGAAGGUUUAAAUACUUAUCUGAACAAUAGGAAAGUCAAUGCACUGGUGGGUUUUGGGUUGUUAUGAAUCAAUUAAAGCUACUCAUCACAAGAUCAGACAUUUGCGAAAAGAUUUGAUAGAAAAACCUAUCUAGUCUGUAAGAUUAUCCUAGACGCUUAGAGACCUACCUACCAAACAGUCGACAUCUUAGUCUAGACUUAGUAUUCAUCUUGUGUAGUUUAGUGAAACACUGAAGUUUCCUAAGUCUUAAGGGAAGAUCUUUUAAGAUGUUCACAAAGAAAUAGAGACAGUGGGGCAAGUAUAUUCUAAAUAAUUCGCAAAUCACAAAAUGAGGGCUCUGUUCCACAAAGUGAUCUUAGCACAAUAACCUCAGUCAAAGUUAUUGUAUGGGAGUUACGAUUGUCUUAGCACUAAGAUUGCUUUGUGAAACACAGCCUCAUUGAAAUCCGAUCUUAGUUCUUGCUAGCGCUAAACAAGGAUCUGAGGACACCCCAUUACAGGUCGCGAAUCUUGACCCACCAAUGAAAUGACUAACAAGAAGUCAACAUCAGCCAAUCAGAAAGCAGCUUUCUCAAGUUAUAUGGCACUAGUUUCAAACUGGUGACUUGCAUGCCAGACUUCUUUUUGAACAAUAUUUUGUCAAAGUUCCUGAUUCAGAAUUUGAAAACUGAAUAAAAGAACAUUCUGGAAUGUCUAAUAGAUGGAGAGAUUGUAUGGCAGUAUUUCCAUCAGGCUAUGCAAAGUCUCUUCCAUUCAAAUGUUUAUCCCAUUGAGAUAGACAAUCACUCGUACAGUCCGCAACUGUCAAUCAGAAUACCCUGUGUAAACCUUUUCAUGGUUGCAUGAUAGGAAAACACAUUCCGACUGUCACUUUCCUGAUCUGAUUAGCGACGCUGUGAUUGGUCCAAUGAAAGAUCACUCUGACAGGACCCACAAGGGGAUGUCCUCAGAUCUUUGUUUAGCGGUAGCGAGAACCAAGAUGUGAAUUAAAAGAGAUUGCAGUUAUUAAUCACAACACAUCAGCUAGAUUGUCAAAGUUUGCGAAUGAAAUACAUACAUACCAAUGAAAUUUCAGUAUAGAUGUUUCUCAAACUGGAGAGAUUUUAUGACAACAUGUGUACAUUUCCUGCAAUGUUUUCCCAUGUUCAAGGGGCGGUCGGGUAGCCCAUUGGUUAAAGCGUUCGCUCGUCACGCUGAAGACCCGGGUUCGAUUCCCGACAUGGGUACAGUGUGUGAAGCCCAUUUCUGGUGUUCCCCGCCGUGAUAUUGCUGGAAUAUUGCUAAAAGCGGCGUAAAACCAUACUCACUCACUCACUCACUCACUCACUCACAUGUUCAAGCAUGAGCAAGUUAAAGGUGUAUACAUGGCCUGGCUGCCGGCAAUACUGUAUCAUAGCAUUACACUGUCUAGUGAUUACCUCACUCUAUCUGCUUGUCAUACCUCAUGGUGUUUUUACAUGUCAAUAUUAAUCAUGUACCAUCCAGUCUCACUCGUUCAUCACCUUCACUGUGCACAACCAUACGUCCUUGUAAACAUUUAGCCAAAAACAUACACUGUAAAAUUUGUCUUUUUGUCAAAGAUUUAAGGCUUUGAUAAAAGAAUUGGUUCUCAGGCAAUGGUUUUGGAAAAUAUUGUGCGGGCGGCUGUGUCUUUUUCUUUUUUGGGGGGGUUGUGCAAACUAGUAUGUAACCAAAUAAACAGUUGUGUAACCAAACAAACAGUCGUGUACGAUCAACCUGGGAAAGGGCCUCUCUACAUAAAUGUAUUCCUUGAGUAAAAUAGUGGUAGACAAUAUUUGACUAGCGUUGGACUUGGAAUACAUGUGUAUUUAAGGAUUUUUUUCUUCUAAAAAUGGAAUUAAAAACAAAAUGUGCGGCAAACUUUAUGAUGAUGCGGCCGGUGCCUGAGAACCAAGACUAUUAUUAUUUAGCCGAAUCAGAUGCAUUUUGAGCUGAUAGAAAUGUUUGAAAUUCAUCUGAAUGUCGCAUUUCAGAGAUAAUCUUUUAACCAUUAAAAAGAAUUUAUGAUAAAUAACUGCGCUGUAGAAAAGACAUCAGUCUCAAAGAUGAAAGACUGAUUGGUGGGACAUUGUUUUCCUCAUGGAAUAUUGGUAGUAGUCAUGUCAGAUAUAGUCUUUCAGAUCGUUCUUUGAGGUAUUUCCUGUUUCAUUUACAGCGGCAUUUUGUACAUCUCAGCGGCACAUGAAUCACUCAUUGUAACAUUUCCCCUGUGUUUUGUAUUGUGAUCAAAACACAUGGAGUCCAUCUUUGUGACACAUGCACUUGUAUUUUGUAUUUUGUACAUGAUUAUUUGUUUGGCUGUACAUUUCCUGAGCUGAAAGGCGGGAAAUAUUGUUUGUUUGUACCUCAAGUUGUUUUUUGUGGAGUUUUUGGAACUCACAAGCGUGAGUAAAAUGACGCUUAAAUAUGA